AUUUCCUAGCCGAAGAGCGGCACGUGGAUGAAAGGAAAGUGCGCGGCGGCGACAGCGUGCGCUCAGACACCUACCUUCCUUUUGAAAUCGAGUCUGUUGAGUAUUUCCUGUAGUCUGGUUACUUCCUGUUUCAUCAACUCAGAGUUCCUCUCCGAUGGCUCUGCGAAACAUCAAAAGAAGAUACAAGAUGGAGGGCGGUAGGAAGUGUGGCUCUUCUGCUUUUUGCGCAUUUCUACCGCCAACCUCGAGACUGAAGGGUCUUGUAGCGGAAAUCAAAAUCAUCCUGCAUGUUCUCGAUGCACUUGACUCCUUGCUCCAUGAUCUGUGCACAAAUCCCUUUUCUUGGCUUUGUUUUGUUUUUGUUUUUUUUACAUCUGGGAUAUUUUACCUGCACACUAGUCCGGAUCAUCCCGAGUCUGUGGUCUAAGUUCUUUUGCCUCUCGAGGACGGCCGAAUUUUGCAGUUGUAGUGAUUUCUCCAGUGGGCUCUGUUUAAACAUGUUGCGUCACAAAAAAAGUGACCUCACGUUCGCUCCCCUUGCAUGUUAACAAUGAAUCUUCUGUGUCUUCAAACCUGCUGCUGCACGCAAGCGCUGGAGAGGAUCCGCCGUUCUUCUUCGAGGCAGUUGGCGAUCUCUCUAGACAUGGCCACCGGGUUGCUGGCGUAUUUCAUCUGCAGAAGAUGAUUUUUCACCAGUCACGUCAACUUGGUAAAGAAAGAUGUCUCUUACUUCUGCACAAAGUCAAUUUCCCCUCUGGGCUUGAAUGCACCCUCACCACUGAGUGGAGUAGAAAGGCUUCUGUGGAAGUUGAGCUCCUGAGACAAUGCCACCUCCACCUGGGACAACAUGUUGGAAUACAGCACCGCCGCCAUGGAGACGUUGGCAGACGCCGACUCCCUAAUGAGAAAGACAUUUUUAGACACACAUUUAAAAUAAUAAUAAAAAUCAUCCCCGAAGCAUUACAAUUUUUUUUCUUCAAAAUAACUUUUGCCCUAACAUAUAUGCCAGCUUCCCUUAUAUAAUAUAGGUCUUGUUUUGUUUUGUUUUCUGGUGAAAAACACACGCUACUGCUUUGUAUAAAAUAUUGAAUUUUUGUUCUUUUCUCUUACUCACCAAUCCUGUGCCUCGAUCCAACCGGCCAGACCCUGCCUGAUGUCCAUCGGAAAAUUAUCAUCAUACAACUCAUCCACACGCGCCAGUAGUCUCAUCUCCAGCUGCUGAAUUUGCUUCCACUGGCUCAUUUUGGACACUUGAGUGAAAACGACAGCGUCAAAUGACAUUUGAAAUGUGAUGUAAAGUUAGGGAAUUGUUGUCUUCUUACCUGAGACGUUUUCCCGUCAGUGUCGUUCACCGUGAGCACGCUUCUCUGGCUUUCGUUUUCAGUGCGCUUCAUAUUCAGGAAGUCUUGUAGUCAGGGACUUGGAGAGCUGCCCACGUUUGCACUUUUUAUUUAUUUAUUAUUUCAUCAACAAUGAUGUCAAUAAAAACAUUAGUACAUUA